ensembl:lncRNA novel transcript, antisense to DNAH9
UCCCAAAGUGCUCAGAUUAUAGGCAUGAGCCACCAUGCCCGGCCUUCAAACUGUUUUUGCUUCUGUUCUUCAGCUCACCCAUCCUUCUUUCCCCAGUAUGGUAUUCCCAGGUUGCUACAUGGGGUCAGCAGUCUUCCAGAGUCUAGCAGAACCCACCUAACUCAAUCCAGGAAAAACAGCCCCCCUCUGCAACCUCUCCCAGAGUGGAGUACACUGCAGGCUCUAGUGGCAGAACAUUUUCUCCCUUCUGUCCUCACCUUCAGCUGCUCCAAGUCUGGCCUCUCCAUGCUGACCACAGCGGCCAGCAACUGGUCCUCCAGGCCAUCCCUGGUCACGGUGAAGUUGAUCAGGGUGGCCUGAGCCUGCAGCUCAGGCUGGUAGUGAGGAUUAGCCAGCUUGGUGUGGAGGAUGAGCCGGAACUUGGGAUUGUAUUCACAUUCUUUGUCUCCAAUUUUAAUGAAUCUGGAACAUAAAGGCUCAUGUGAAGGUGUCCUGAUGACAUAGAACAGGAUGAGUACUGAAACCACAAGGCUAAAAUGAAGGGAGGCAUGAGGGAUGUCAAGGCCCAAGCCACUGAAGCCUGGUGGGUGCUGGCCAGACAUUCUCAGUGCCAUUCAAGUCCCUUCACGUGGUAACUUUCCCACAGCUGAGGGUCAACCAUGAGUGGCCAGCGCUCACAGUUGAUGAGAAUGGUGGCAUUCUCCACGGACAUGCGGUCGGCUGGGAGGCCCUCGUUCUGCCAGGCAGCCACGUCAGCAUCAUCCAUCAGCAUCCUCAGGGGAUCCAGGGCUGGGGUGACUGGAAUGGGAGUCUGGUGAAGAAGAAACACCACCCCACGCUCAGAACAGAAGCAGACAUUCUCAGCUGGGAUGAAUGCAGUUACUCACCAAAUGACACAACUCCUUUAAAAGCAAGAUCAACAUCCCACUGAAGAAUGCCUUUCUGGCUGUGUGAUUAUUUCUGGAAGCAGGUUCUAUUAAAGUCCUGAUAGCUUUUUUUUUUCCCCUCCAUGGAUGAAUAACUGCAGAAAUUC